rnacentral:lncRNA from 1 species
GCUGGCAGGAAAGGUUUUCUGUGAGUAAAUGGAGCAUUUAUACAUGCUUUUGGGUUACAGGCUUGAAUUUCCAUGGCUAGUCCAAAGGAAAAUACCAACAGCUGAGCUCAUUUUUCAGAACACUGUAAUUACAACAGCAAGCCACAUUAGCACCCUGUCAUCUUUGAUAGGAGCCAUGCCCUUUCACAAGAAGAUGUAAGAAACCACACAGAUAAAAUGCCACAGAUGUGGUACAGCAGUAUUGACUGAGGCUGGAGGUUUUAUUAUACCUGGCAAUGUACUUCGAUAUACCAAGUCUCUGAAGAAUUCAUAAAUGGACCACACAGAUAAAGGUCAUUGAUAAGAUGUCUCAGUGAGUGCU